rnacentral:tRNA from 1 species
GCCUGGGUGGCUCAAUUGGUUAAGUGUCUGACUUCUGCUCAGGUCAUGAUCUCGCUGCUCGUAGGUUUGAACCCCACGUCAGGCU